AAGUACUCUUUGGCUUAGUGAGAUUGACUAAAGUGAAAGAAUAAUAAGAAUUAUCACCUCAAUGAUGAAUGAAUUAAUAAUACCUUAACUGAUGCUUCCUGUACGGGGCCUCCUUUCUUGACUUAUCCACUAAGAAGAAGCUAGGUUAAUCCUGGCCAAUACCUUAGUGCUUGCUUGUCUUACUUGGUAAUGAUACUGAUUGUCCCUCCAAAGUGGUCUUUUUAGAUCAUUAAGUGCGGAAUGUGCCCGGCAUCCUAAGCGAUGUAGACUUUACUCCGUCAUCAAAAGAUCCAUUCAUGGCAGCUGUGUAGGUGCUGCAUUUUUGCUGAUGGUUUAUAUCUUAAGAACCUCGCGAUAGUAUAGUACAUUUUUUAGCGAAAUCAUGAUUUCUGUUGGUGGCGGAGUCGCUAUCUUAAAAAGUCCGAAAAAAAACGGACCUGGAGUAAAAAUCAAUAGGUUUACCAUGGUAGUUUCCAGGGGACUGCAAGGAGUUGUCAUUGAUCUACCUCUUACUUUGACACGAUAUCAGUCAUGCUCGCUAUCCAUACAGGAGUUGGUUUUACAUUAGGAGUAGACACUAAAAAAACACGUUUUCUUA